CAUUUUUGAAGGCAGUCUGUACUGUUCGUGGUGCCCCCACCGGUGUCCUAUUCAUUAGUGUACCUCAUGUACAAAGUGCAUUCAUUCAACAUCAGAUUGUAUUACAGGUGGGAACAGCCUGAUUUCGGUGAAUGUUGAAGUGGUGCCGAAACUCAUGCUGAACUGCUGUUACAGACUUGUUAUUCUUCACCUAACUGUCAUAAGCAAAUGUGAUGUACUAUCAUCCACAAUGCCAUGGCUUCACCUGGAAAGAAAAGAAAAUGCUAAGACACCACAGACCAAAUGGCAUUUGUUGGACAUAUGUCUCUCCCGCUGGGGCUGAGUAAUAACCAUUUCAAAAACGUUUGUCCUCUUUGCCUCACCCUGUAUUGCUCAGCAUUGAAAGGAAAAUACUGCAGAUGUAACUAAAUGGGGCUAGAUGAUUGU